CAGGGCUGAGUAACCUGUUGUGCUCCGGAUGCUGAAUUUCAAUUCUUAGCAGCUGUAGCCUAUUUUUGUGGAAGCUGGACAGUAAGCUGGAAAUGGGAAGACUCAGCACCAUGUCAUCAGGCAACUUUCUUCCAAUCCAUAGGAAAUGUUUGACACACUCAGGGGCUGAGAAACUCUGGGAUGUGCUCUGGAAGAAGGGAACAUUUUUCAAUCUACACUUCAACACAGCAUUUUGAUUUGAAUUAUUUCCACAUCUGCAGAUAGGUUCACAUAGCUCAUCACAAAAUAGAUCAAAUUAAAUCACCAUUAAAUCAUAUUUCUUCUUGGGAAUGAAACUGCUGUGGCGCAGGCUGGAAAGCAAGCCAGCUACAACAAAUCAACAAAUCACUCUGACCAAGAGGUCAUUAGUUCGAGGCCAGCCCGGUGCCUGCGUCUUGUCUCUGUCUCUGUUCUAUGUCAUGGCAUUGAAUGUUUUCCUUUAUGUGUGCAAUGUGAUCCGCCCUGAGUCCCCUUCGGGGUGAGAAGGGUGGAAUAUAAAUGCUGUAAAUAAAUAAAUAAUAAUUAACGAAGUGACACAA